rnacentral:rRNA from 1 species
ACCUGUUUAUCAAAAACAUGGCUUAUUGAACUUUAAUUUUAAGUCUAUCUGCCCAAUGAUGUAAAAAUUUAAUGGCUGCAGUAUAACUGACUGUACAAAGGUAGCAUAAUCAAUUGUUUUUUAAUUAAAAACUAGAAUGAAAGAAUUAAUGAGAUAUAUACUGUCUCAUAUAUAUUUAAUAAAAUUAAAUUUUUAGUAAAAAUGCUAAAAUUAAUUUAUGGGACGAUAAGACCCUAUAGAAUUUUAUAUUAAUAUUUCAAUUAUAAUUAAUUUUUAAUAUUAAUAUUUUAUUGGGAGGAUAAAUAAAUUUAAAUAACUUUAUUUUAAAUUUAAACUUUGAUUUAAGAAUAUUUUUUGAUCUUUUAUUAUAAAUUAAAAGAAUAAAUUACCUUAGGGAUAACAGCGUAAUAUCUUUUUAAAGAUCAUAUUGAUAAAGAUGAUUGCGACCUCGAUGUUGAAUUAAGAUAAAUUUUAAAUGGAGAAAUUUAAUAAUUAAGUCUGUUCGACUUUUAAUAUCUUACAUGAUUUGAGUUCAAAUCGACGUGAGUCAGGUUGGU